AGUGGCGGACUGGUGAGUAACACGUAAGCAACCUGCCUAUUAGAGGGGAAUAACAGUGAGAAAUCAUUGCUAAUACCGCAUAUGCCAUAAUCACCACAUGGUGGUAGUGGGAAAGGAGCAAUCCGCUAAUAGAUGGGCUUGCGUCUGAUUAGCUAGUUGGUGGGGUAAAGGCCUACCAAGGCGACGAUCAGUAGCCGGACUGAGAGGUUGAACGGCCACAUUGGGACUGAGAUACGGCCCAGACUCCUACGGGAGGCAGCAGUCGGGAAUAUUGCGCAAUGGAGGAAACUCUGACGCAGUGACGCCGCGUAUAGGAAGAAGGUUUUCGGAUUGUAAACUAUUGUCGUUAGGGAAGAAAAAAGACAGUACCUAAGGAGGAAGCUCCGGCUAACUACGUGCCAGCAGCCGCGGUAAUACGUAGGGAGCAAGCGUUAUCCGGAUUUAUUGGGUGUAAAGGGUGCGUAGACGGGAAUUUAAGUUAGUUGUGAAAUCCCUCGGCUUAACUGAGGAACUGCAACUAAAACUGGAUUUCUUGAGUGCAGGAGAGGAAAGCGGAAUUCCUAGUGUAGCGGUGAAAUGCGUAGAUAUUAGGAGGAACACCAGUGGCGAAGGCGGCUUUCUGGACUGUAACUGACGUUGAGGCACGAAAGUGUGGGGAGCAAACAGGAUUAAAUACCCUGGUA
rnacentral:rRNA from 1 species